UGAAAUCUUUGAUGAAGAAAUUAUCGAUACUGAUAGUAUAUGAGUGUUAUACAAUUUAUCACCAUCUUUCGACUGAGAUUUCA